GACGGGGCCCGCACAAGCGGUGGAGCAUGUGGUUUAAUUCGAUGCAACGCGAAGAACCUUACCUGGUCUUGACAUCCACGGAAGUUUUCAGAGAUGAGAAUGUGCCUUCGGGAACCGUGAGACAGGUGCUGCAUGGCUGUCGUCAGCUCGUGUUGUGAAAUGUUGGGUUAAGUCCCGCAACGAGCGCAACCCUUAUCCUUUGUUGCCAGCGGUCCGGCCGGGAACUCAAAGGAGACUGCCAGUGAUAAACUGGAGGAAGGUGGGGAUGACGUCAAGUCAUCAUGGCCCUUACGACCAGGGCUACACACGUGCUACAAUGGCGCAUACAAAGAGAAGCGACCUCGCGAGAGCAAGCGGACCUCAUAAAGUGCGUCGUAGUCCGGAUUGGAGUCUGCAACUCGACUCCAUGAAGUCGGAAUCGCUAGUAAUCGUGGAUCAGAAUGCCACGGUGAAUACGUUCCCGGGCCUU
rnacentral:rRNA from 1 species